UACGGAGGAUGCAAGCGUUAUCCGGAAUGAUUGGGCGUAAAGCGUCCGCAGGUGGCAAUGUAAGUCUGCUGUCAAAGCGUCUGGCUCAACCAGAUAAAGGCAGUGGAAACUACAUAGCUAGAGUAAGGUAGGGGUGGAGGGAAUUCCUGGUGUAGCGGUGAAAUGCGUAGAGAUCAGGAAGAACACCGGUGGCGAAAGCGCUCUGCUGGACCUUAACUGACACUGAGGGACGAAAGCUAGGGGAGCGAAUGGG
rnacentral:rRNA from 1 species